rnacentral:rRNA from 1 species
AUUGAACGCUGGCGGCAUGCUUUACACAUGCAAGUCGAACGGCAGCACGGGCUUCGGCCUGGUGGCGAGUGGCGAACGGGUGAGUAAUACAUCGGAACGUACCCAGAAGUGGGGGAUAACGUAGCGAAAGUUACGCUAAUACCGCAUACGUUCUACGGAAGAAAGUGGGGGAUCGCAAGACCUCAUGCUUUUGGAGCGGCCGAUGUCUGAUUAGCUAGUUGGUGAGGUAAAGGCUCACCAAGGCGACGAUCAGUAGCUGGUCUGAGAGGACGACCAGCCACACUGGAACUGAGACACGGUCCAGACUCCUACGGGAGGCAGCAGUGGGGAAUUUUGGACAAUGGGCGCAAGCCUGAUUCAGCAAUGCCGCGUGAGUGAAGAAAGCCUUCGGGUUGUAAAGCUCUUUUGUCAGGGAAGAAACGGUAGAGGCUAAUAUCCUUUGCUAAUGACGGUACCUGAAGAAUAAGCACCGGCUAACUACGUGCCAGCCGCCGCGGUAACAC